UGUUGUUUAUCAAUUUUUCUAUCUCUGUGUUCCCAUUUACCCAUUCUCUUUUGGAGCCUCAUAGAAUUCUGAGAAGGUUCAUGUGGAGAACACCAAAAAUCCAAAUUUGUCAGUUUCAACGAAAUUUAAAUAGCAAGUUUGAGGGAAGCAAAUCCAAACCAUUUAGCUAAUGCUAUUGUGCUUAAAGCACAGCCUAGUAUUGCUCCCGUGGUUCCACGAGGUUGAAGGAUAGAACUCCGAUCGAGUUCUUGGAUUGAACUACGAGGUUGCCGGCACAGCAUCCGCAAUGAUGGGGCGAGCUUCAAUGCUCGCUUGACCUUUAGUGCUCGCUACACUUGUUGCUCGGGGGCAAGCUUCAAUGCUCGCCCGACCUUCAGUGCGUGAUGAUCCUUCUACGCUCGUUGUCUGAGACGGCACGGGUUUGUUGUUCGGGGCGAGCUUCAUUGUUCACUUGUGAUGCGGACGGACUAAAUGCCCGUUAUGCCUAUCGCCUCGGGAGCCUUACCACCACAAGGAGAACAUACACGGCUGCUGCACUUGAGUCUCAGCUGUCUAUAGGUGGAGGCUAGGAACUGGGAAAUAUACGAAUGCAAAAGGAUUCUACCCUCUAGAAGGAACCGGAUGGAAUUGGAGAGGAGUUGGUUAGAUGCAGAGCAAAGGAUGGAAAAGGCAAGGAUAAAAGCAGGAGAAAGGAGGAGAAGAGGUGGCCUGGACGGAAUGCAAAAGAAACUUCUGGGGUUUUUUGCUGUUUCUGGUUCUUCCUUUUAUUUUAUAGUCGAGAAGUUUUUUUUGUUCUGUUUUAUUUUUAUGGUUGAAUCCUGAGAUGAAGGGGGGUAGUUUUCUGAACCCUAAGUCAAAGGAAACCAUCGAGUAGUGUUCAUUCUUCAAGGGAUUCGACUUUUAGACUAUGUUUAAUUGCAUUGUUCUUUGAGUUUCUUCACCCUCGUAUUCAAUGAAAUCUUGGAUUUGUU